ACGUAGGGCGCAAGCGUUAUCCGGAAUUAUUGGGCGUAAAGAGCUCGUAGGCGGUUUGUCGCGUCUGCCGUGAAAGUCCGGGGCUCAACUCCGGAUCUGCGGUGGGUACGGGCAGACUAGAGUGAUGUAGGGGAGACUGGAAUUCCUGGUGUAGCGGUGAAAUGCGCAGAUAUCAGGAGGAACACCAGUGGCGAAGGCGACUUUCUGGUCUGUAACUGACGCUGAGGCGCGAAAGCGUGGGGAGCAAACAGGA
rnacentral:rRNA from 1 species